rnacentral:misc_RNA from 1 species
AAGUCGUAACAAGGUUUCCGUAGGUGAACCUGCGGAAGGAUCAUUACAAAACAAAAUCCAAAUCACACCAAAUGUGCUCUAUAAAUGCAGAGAGUCUGCAGAAAUUCAUGUAUUUGUGUGUGUGGUGUGUGUGUGUGUGUGUGAGUGUAUAUGCUGUUUGUUAUGUUUGUGUUUGUGAGAGAGAAAUUAACCUUUUUCUCACACACUCACAGACAUAUACAUACACAUACACACACACAUGCAUACACACACACACACACACAAGCAUAUACAUAUUUUUCACUACAUGCUGGCUCUCUUGCAUUGUCUUUGUUUAUCAAUUUUUUCAUUAACUCCUUGUUUAACCAACAACGGAUUACAAUGUUAAAACUUGAAACAAAAAAACAAAACAAAAUGACAACUUUUAACGGUGGAUCUCUUGGCUCGU